UACGGAGGGGACUAGCGUUGUUCGGAAUUACUGGGCGUAAAGCGCACGUAGGCGGAUUUGUAAGUCAGGGGUGAAAUCCCGAGGCUCAACCUCGGAACUGCCUUUGAUACUGCAAAUCUCGAGUCCGGAAGAGGUGAGUGGAAUUCCUAGUGUAGAGGUGAAAUUCGUAGAUAUUAGGAAGAACACCAGUGGCGAAGGCGGCUCACUGGUCCGGUACUGACGCUGAGGCGCGAAAGCGUGGGGAGCGAACAGG
rnacentral:rRNA from 1 species